UACGAAGGGGGCUAGCGUUGUUCGGAUUUACUGGGCGUAAAGCGCACGUAGGCGGAUCUUUAAGUCAGAGGUGAAAUCCCAAGGCUCAACCUUGGAACUGCCUUCGAUACUGCGGGUCUCGAGUCCGGGAGAGGUGAGUGGAAUUCCUAGUGUAGAGGUGAAAUUCGUAGAUAUUAGGAAGAACACCAACGGCGAAGGCAGCUCGCUGGGACGGAACUGACGCUGAGGCGCGAAAGCGUGGGGAGCGAACAGG
rnacentral:rRNA from 1 species